GUAACUUUAGAGACGGUCCCUUAAUUUCCCGCAUAUCUGCAAAUAUCGAACGUCCAACGUCAAACCAACUUUAUUCCAGUCUGCUGCAGGGAGGCGUGAGGACUGCAGAUGUGGUCAGAGCAAUAAACGGCAAUGUCUGUAAUAUGUGAUCGAGAACUUGAAAAUGCCUUGAUGGAAGGUUGGAGUAACAUCUCACAGCAAGAGCUGCCCAAUCUGGUGCAGUCUAUGAGGAUGAGAUGCACUGUAGUAUUAAAGCAGCUGGACACCACAACAUACUGACUGUUACUUUAGAUAUUGACACCCCCCCCCCCACGCCCCCCACGCCCCUUGUUCAGGGACUUAUUAUUCCAUUUCUGUUCGUCAAAUGUCUGUGAAACUUGUUCAGUUUAUAUCUCAGUUGUUCAACCUUUUUAUGUGAAUACAAAUAUUUACACAUGUUAAGAAAUCUGCUGGAAAUAAAAGCAGUUGAAUGUGAGAGGACGUUUCUUUUUUGCUGAGUAUAGUAUGUUCAUAUCUUAUCACUGGUGUGUGAUAAAACUGAAAUGCAGUUAAAACUGCAUUUAAAAAAUUAAUUGAAAGAGUCAAAAUGUUUCCUUUUGGUUGCUAUUAGGGUUAGGGAUAAAUAUAUGCAUAGGCAUAACAUUAAUUUGCUGCAUUAAUAAUUAUGUCAGUGGAAGGUGUUCUUGCAUAUGCAUAUUCAGAGAGCAAUACAGUGUGAGGACUGUUUUUUUUGUUGUUGUUUUUGUUUACAUGUAUCCAUAGCGACUUCAAGUUGAGUUGAUCAGAUGAGGCUUAAGGGUCUUUCCGGUUCAAAUAUCCAGCUUAUCCUGGCCAGCUACCUGAGGCUGAACUGCUUUGCCAUGUGGAUUAGUGUUUACCAGCUGGCAAAGGUGGUCCAGUUUAACCAACUGGAUUUUUCAGCAGAAGGGCCAAGAUUAACAGCAGGGUGGAACUAGGAUUCAAACUCACAACCUCCUGUAUAGCCCAGUGAUCUAACUGCAGAGCUGCCACUUUUAUUCUAACAGACUGGAUUCAGCUUACAAGUUUAUGAAGUUUACGUGGCAGUCUCAGUUUGGAUUCUGGGUCUCCACCAGUGCAAUUAGGCACUAAAUUAAAACAUCAACUUCAGCCUUUCUACAAAGUUCAUUCAAAGGGUUGAAUUAACAUCCAGAGUGUUAAUUUGUGUCCAAUUGGCCAUACAUAAACACUAUAUUGUGUUAAUUUAACACUGGGGAUUUUGCUGUGUACCCCAGGGGUUGAAGUUGUUCUGGACCUGCAGCCCAAGUGGAGCUUCAGUUCCUAUUUGUUCAAAAGGUUCUGUGCAUUAUUAAAUAUGGCAGGCCUCAUUCCCAAUGUAUAUCGGCUGGCAAGGACUCCCUGACCUGCACAGUUUAAAGUUUUCUCCGCUGCCAAUACACCUUCGAUUUAUUAAGCCCUUAGGGGGUGGGCUAGGUGUGUUGGGGUAGGGAGAUCUUCAGAUGAGGACGGAGGGAAGAAGAGAGAGAAGGAGGGAGAGAAGGAGGGGCUGCACUGCCUAAUUACAACAAGAUUCAGCUGAAUUUUCUCUUUGGUGCCGCGUUUGACCAGGACUCCAUUUUUGCAGGUUCUUUUAGUCCACCAGAGGGCAGACAAUGUACAUUAAAAUUCAAGCAAAGCUGGCAGCAGUCAGCUGCCACACACUGUUUUUAUUUACAAACACAAGAAAAGCCCAGAAUCCGCUGGCCACAGGAUAAUAAGAAUGUUCUUGCAUCAGAUGCCAUCUUUUAACUUUGUCAAACAGAAUAGCUUUGUAUUCCUCCAGUAGCCAGAAAUCAGAUUGAUUCUUUUCAUAAAUGGUGAUUAGUGAAUUUAGGCCAGAAAUGUUAUCAGGUAGGCCACACUCAUGUUGUUGUACCAGUCUGUUUUCAGCUGUCUUUCUGUCUGUAAGAAAAGAUGUCUAGAGAGGUACAAGCCUGCACAAUGUCUCUAAGAAAGAGCUAUUCUGCAGAUCCCCAGAUAAUUACUUUCACAUUCUGUAAACAAAGUAAUUUCUUUUUUAGACAUACAUACAUAUAGCAGACAUAAUAAUGUAUUUAAAAGAAUUAAGUGACUUUUUAUAUAUAUAUUUUAAAUAAAAUUUACACCUCAGUUCUAUAAACAAGAAAUUAAUAUCGAGUAACUGACAUGGAAGACACCAUGCUCUCAUUUAAAAGAAAACAAAAACUACUUUACUUUAGUCCACAAAAGAUACAUAUACACAUCCCUCUGUUAGCAGUUAGAAUGAUAACGAUCUUUCCAACUCAACCGAACAAUCGUUCCAAUCUGGACUAAAUUGGAUCGGAUUAGUUUCAGCCACUCUCUGGGAAACUGAGAUACUCUGGGAAACACAGACAAGCAUCCUUAGGAAACAGACAAUGCCCUCGCACAGCAGAUACACACUGGUGAAGGCUGUAAGAGACAUCGUAGCUGCAAUGCAGUGGUCUUAGGCGAGCUGACUUCUUGUUUUAAUUUCUUGUGAUUACUUGGGAUUUCUGUUGUUUCUUUUGUCUGAAAAACGAAUAACCAGCUACAUGCUGCAGAAACUGUGUGGAUACCUGUAAAUAUGUCUCUACUUUUUAACUUGGAACUUUAAGUUAUUUAUCUCCCUGUCACAUUAUUUAUCUCAGUCCCAGUAUUUCUGUAUCUACUGUUAAAUUCUUUAGAUUUUUAAGGGUUAUUGUGUGGUAAGUCACACAAAACUCCAUAUACGCAAAUGCUGUACAUUUAUUUACAAGAAUGGAGGUUGAAAGAAUAGAAAAUGAAAACUAAGCUUUAAAAUAUAGUGUGGUGCUGUGGUGAGUCACUGUCUUGGACUGAACUUUACUGGUGCAUGCAGUUGAUUUAAAAGAAAAGUCUGGUAAAUGAAUAACAAUUCCCCUGUCAGUGGAAUGCUCCACUAUAAAAUGGAAACAUUUAGAAUUACUUAAAUCCUACUGUUUAGUCUAAGAUGAUUGUUGCACCUCUGUUUAAGGCACAAGAGGCUCAAAAGAAUAUGUGCGUGUGUGUGUGUGUGUGUGUGUAAAGUGUUACAUAAUGUUCGUUUGUAAUAUUAUUUUUAUUGUUUCUAAUUUUGUUUUUAAAGCUGUUUAAAGAACUCUUGUUUUGGGGAAAAUAUUUUUCUCUGUGGAACGGUGUAAAAACAGUGAUGGUUUGCUAGUGUCAGUUACUUUAGCAAGAGAAGACGUUGCUGGCUAUUUAAGCAUCACUGACUGCAUCUCAUACUUGCAUAUACAUAUGUAUGGCUGUGUUUCUGGGCAACCGCCUUGAUUUUCCUGUGCACACACUUCUGAAAAUUCCUCACCAUUUAUUGGCUGCUGCUAACACCAUUUACAGGAAUUGAGUGCUUGAAAUAAUAGCCAGGUCAAAUAUUUUUUUUCUUGACUUACAGCAAUUGCAACUGUAAAUGUUCCAGAACCUCCACCAGAUUAGAUAUAUCAAUAGACUGCUCCUAUGCAAUAGUGUGCUCGACUCUUUGCAAACCCAGUUUGCUGCACCCUUAAUAAAUCAUCAAUAGAUUGCCAUUGCUCUGUGUGUUUCAUGACUAAAAUACAAUGACUGAAUUCUGACUGAAGAAAUAUUUAUGUCUAAGGGCAGCUCUUUGAAGAAAAUGUAAUAGUUGACUUAUUAACUAUUAAAAAAGAGGAAAUCUUACCUCUCGUUUCACCAUAAUAUCUGCAGCUUCAUUUUUCAUUAUAGUUACUGACACUAACUUAUGGUAUGGUGUGCAGAACAUACAUUCCCUGUUACUUCUCUGCCAUGAGACCAGAUUGGCCAUGAAUAAACUUGUCUGGUUGAAUGUGAAUGACUAAGAAAAUUAAGCAAAUCAAGCAAAGAAACAAACAGGAAAAGAGAAGGUACACAAAAGGAUGAUAUUGUGAGGUGAUUAUUAUUCCUGUACUACAGUAUAUGUUUUAAUUUUUAGCCUGAAUUGAAAUUAUGCUAUUUAGUCAUGGCUCUGAAGUACCUUGACCAUUAUUUGUAGGAUUAUGAUGAUCCAAAGCUCAACUGCCAUCUUGUGCGCUCCUAGAAAAAUGGGUUUCUGAAGGAUUCCUUAGAUGCCAAAAAGUUUAUUAUUUCUCCCAAAGCGGUUCUCCUCUGAACUUUUUCAGAAACAGAGACCCUAGGGUUUUAGGCUGCUAGAUGGACUUUUUUUAAGUGUAGGAGCAAAGGAAGGAGACAUUUAACAUUAAUAGAGAAAGUAUUGACCAGUAUGCAUGUUGAUGAGUGAUUGGGUGACCACAGUGGCAAAUGUCAUGGGUGGUACCUAAAAUAUAUUACCUUUUUAGUAGAAGUGGGUGAGGCAUGGUUCAAACAUCUGCUCUCAGCAAGAGACUGAUGAACAGCAGGCUACAGAAUUAUUGACAUUCCUUCAGGAGAUAGUAGGAAAACAAAAAGGAAAAGAGAAAUCCUGAAAACCUCGUAACAAGCUAUGCAUGAAUCAGUAGCAUUGAGUGUUCAAAAGUAAUUUUUUAUUUCUUUUUUCCUUUCUCCAUUUUCUCUCUUUUUAAUCUAUCUUGAACAAAGACAGUUUUAUCAGUGACUUCCAUUCAGCACUCAACUACAAUACAUAUGAUUAGCAAGUAAAAGAACACAUACACAC